rnacentral:rRNA from 1 species
UACAGAGGGUGCGAACGUUGCUCGGAAUUACUGGGCGUAAAGCGCACGUAGGUGGUUCGCUAAGUCAGCUGUGAAAUCCCCGGGCUCAACCUGGGACUUGCAGUCGAAACUGGUGAGCUAGAGUAGGGUAGAGGGGUGUGGAACUCCAGGUGUAGCGGUGAAAUGCGUAGAUAUCUGGAGGAACAUCAGUGGCGAAGGCGACACCCUGGACUCAUACUGACACUGAGGUGCGAAAGCGUGGGGAGCAAACAGG